CUUUUUCAACUUCUGCACACGACUUCAAAACUUAUCUUUGAAUAUGAAUUUGCAGACGUUGAUUAUAGCUGUUUCAGGCAUACUUUUGCAGUUUCUAUACCUGAAGCUGCCACCGUCAUCCAAGGAUCCAGAAGCUGCAGUGGGGGGACAUUUUCAUCAUCUUCACUGCCGAUUGGGGCGACGCCACCUUGGAAGAAAGAGAAGUGGAGAGUUUUUUUCUGAAUAAUAGGAGGCCAAUGGAGUUCCCCUAAGCUGUAAAACACGUGGUACCACCACCUGCCCGAAGAGAUGAUGAGUUUGUCAUUCAGGAACUAAACCACGAGUGCGUGUUGAGGGUAUACUCAAUCCCAGCACGGUGCAAAGUAUCAGGAAGAAACACAGAAGACUCAAAGCAGUCCACGUACCCUGCAAAAGCUCUCAACUUUGCAGUCAGAGAAAGACAAAUGUCCUAAGAUUUCACUCAUGUGUGGAAUCUAAGAAAUAAAACAGAUGAAUACAGAGGAAGGGAAGGAAAAAUAA